rnacentral:rRNA from 1 species
GGUUAAGCGACUAAGCGUACACGGUGGAUGCCCUGGCAGUCAGAGGCGAUGAAGGACGUGCUAAUCUGCGAUAAGCGCCGGUAAGGUGAUAUGAACCGUUAUAACCGGCGAUUUCCGAAUGGGGAAACCCAGUGUGACUCGUCACACUAUCAUUAACUGAAUCCAUAGGUUAAUGAGGCGAACCGGGGGAACUGAAACAUCUAAGUACCCCGAGGAAAAGAAAUCAACCGAGAUUCCCCCAGUAGCGGCGAGCGAACGGGGAGGAGCCCAGAGUCUGAAUCAGCAUGUGUGUUAGUGGAAGCGUCUGGAAAGGCGCGCGAUACAGGGUGACAGCCCCGUACACAAAAGCGCAUAUGCUGUGAGCUCGAUGAGUAGGGCGGGACACGUGGUAUCCUGUCUGAAUAUGGGGGGACCAUCCUCCAAGGCUAAAUACUCCUGACUGACCGAUAGUGAACCAGUACCGUGAGGGAAAGGCGAAAAGAACCCCGGCGAGGGGAGUGAAAAAGAACCUGAAACCGUGUACGUACAAGCAGUGGGAGCACCCUUUGGGGUGUGACUGCGUACCUUUUGUAUAAUGGGUCAGCGACUUAUAUUCUGUAGCAAGGUUAACCGUAUAGGGGAGCCG